UCCCAGCAUGCGGAGUUGCGAUGGGUGUCCUCCUUGGGCUGAUUCUUCUUGGUGCUGCCAUCAUCAUCAUUAUCAGCAGAAGAAAGCGCCGCCUCAACUAAAUGUUACAUAUAGUCAUCAUGACGCAUCGACCGACAGAAGAAUGAG